AUGAACGCUGGCGGCGUGCCUAAUACAUGCAAGUCGAGCGAACAGACGAGGAGCUUGCUCCUCUGACGUUAGCGGCGGACGGGUGAGUAACACGUGGAUAACCUACCUAUAAGACUGGGAUAACUUCGGGAAACCGGAGCUAAUACCGGAUAAUAUAUUGAACCGCAUGGUUCAAUAGUGAAAUACGGUUUUGCUGUCACUUAUAGAUGGAUCCGCGCCGCAUUAGCUAGUUGGUAAGGUAACGGCUUACCAAGGCAACGAUGCGUAGCCGACCUGAGAGGGUGAUCGGCCACACUGGAACUGAGACACGGUCCAGACUCCUACGGGAGGCAGCAGUAGGGAAUCUUCCGCAAUGGGCGAAAGCCUGACGGAGCAACGCCGCGUGAGUGAUGAAGGUCUUCGGAUCGUAAAACUCUGUUAUUAGGGAAGAACAAAUGUGUAAGUAACUAUGCACGUCUUGACGGUACCUAAUCAGAAAGCCACGGCUAACUACGUG
rnacentral:rRNA from 1 species